rnacentral:rRNA from 1 species
ACGAACGCUGGCGGCGUGCUUAACACAUGCAAGUCGAACGGAAAGGCCCUGCUUUUGUGGGGUUCUCGAGUGGCGAACGGGUGAGUAACACGUUAGUAACCUGCCCUUGACUUUGGGAUAACUUCAGGAAACUGGGGCUAAUACCGGAUAGGAGCUCCUGCUGCCUGGUGGGGGUUGGAAAGUUUCGGCGGUUGGGGAUGGACUCGCGGCUUAUCAGCUUGUUGGUGGGGUAGUGGCUUACCAAGGCUUUGACGGGUAGCCGGCCUGAGAGGGUGACCGGCCACAUUGGGACUGAGAUACGGCCCAGACUCCUACGGGAGGCAGCAGUGGGGAAUAUUGCACAAUGGGCGGAAGCCUGAUGCAGCAACGCCGCGUGCGGGAUGACGGCCUUCGGGUUGUAAACCGCUUUCGCCUGUGACGAAGCGUGAGUGACGGUAAUGGGUAAAGAAGCACCGGCUAACUACGUG